CGUUUCCUACCUUGAAGGAUUGCUUCCCUGGUGUCCAGAGUGGUGGCUGAGGCUGUUGGGGGUUGCCGACUGGCAAUCCUGACAGACCCCCUCCUCUCUGCUUCCUGGUGUUGUCUCUCCCACGCGGCUCUCUCUGGGAGGAAGUGACUCACUGCAGUCACUUCCUCCAAUGCUGCCCAAAAGCAAAGGGGCCCAGUCAUGC